rnacentral:rRNA from 1 species
GUUCCAGACUCCUACGGGAGGCAGCAGUGAGGAAUAUUGGUCAAUGGGCGGGAGCCUGAACCAGCCAAGUCGCGUGAGGGAAGACGGUCCUACGGAUUGUAAACCUCUUUUGCCGGGGAGCAACGGGGUCCUUGCGAGGGCCCGAUGAGAGUACCCGGAGAAAAAGCAUCGGCUAACUCCGUGCCAGCAGCCGCGGUAAUACGGAGGAUGCGAGCGUUAUCCGGAUUUAUUGGGUUUAAAGGGUGCGUAGGCGGUUUUAUAAGUUAGAGGUGAAAUCUCGGGGCUCAACUCCGAAAUUGCCUCUAAUACUGUAGGACUAGAGAAUAGUUGCGGUAGGCGGAAUGUAUGGUGUAGCGGUGAAAUGCUUAGAGAUCAUACAGAACACCGAUUGCGAAGGCAGCUUACCAAACUAUAUCUGACGUUGAGGCACGAAAGCGUGGGUAGCAAACAGGAUUAGAUACCCGUGUAU